AUGUGGACAAAGUUCUUCAUUUUGUCAAUUCUGUGCAAAGAAGGACAGUGUCCAUAGAG
rnacentral:pre_miRNA from 1 species